UAACACAUGCAAGUCGAGCGGAUGAGUGGAGCUUGCUCCAUGAUUCAGCGGCGGACGGGUGAGUAAUGCCUAGGAAUCUGCCUGGUAGUGGGGGACAACGUUUCGAAAGGAACGCUAAUACCGCAUACGUCCUACGGGAGAAAGCAGGGGACCUUCGGGCCUUGCGCUAUCAGAUGAGCCUAGGUCGGAUUAGCUGGUUGGUGAGGUAAUGGCUCACCAAGGCGACGAUCCGUAACUGGUCUGAGAGGAUGAUCAGUCACACUGGAACUGAGACACGGUCCAGACUCCUACGGGAGGCAGCAGUGGGGAAUAUUGGACAAUGGGCGAAAGCCUGAUCCAGCCAUGCCGCGUGUGUGAAGAAGGUCUUCGGAUUGUAAAGCACUUUAAGUUGGGAGGAAGGGCAKUAASCUAAUACCUUGCUGUUUUGACGUUACCGACAGAAUAAGCACCGGCUAACUUCGUGCCAGCAGCC
rnacentral:rRNA from 1 species